UGCACGUCGAACGGCUGUAUUUAUACAGCAGUGGCGGACGGGUGAGUAACGCGUGAGAAUCUAGCUUUUGGUCGGGGACAACCAUUGGAAACGAUGGCUAAUACCGGAUGAGCCCUAGGGUAAAAGAUUAAUUGCCAAGAGAAGAGCUCGCGUCUGAUUAGCUAGUUGGUAAGGUAAAGGCUUACCAAGGCAUCGAUCAGUAGCUGGUCUGAGAGGACGAUCAGCCACACUGGGACUGAGACACGGCCCAGACUCCUACGGGAGGCAGCAGUGGGGAAUUUUCCGCAAUGGGCGAAAGCCUGACGGAGCAAGACCGCGUGAGGGAGGAAGGCUCUUGGGUCGUAAACCUCUUUUGUCAGGGAAGAAAAAAAUGACGGUACCUGAAGAAUCAGCAUCGGCUAACUCCGUGCCAGCAGCCGCGGUAAUACGGAGGAUGCAAGCGUUAUCCGGAAUUAUUGGGCGUAAAGCGUCCGCAGGUGGUUGUUCAAGUCUGCUGUCAAAGAGUGUGGCUUAACCACAUCAAGGCAGUGGAAACUGAAGAACUAGAGUGCUCAAGGGGUAGAGGGAAUUCUCGGUGUAGCGGUGAAAUGCGUAGAGAUCGGGAAGAACAUCGGUGGCGAAAGCGCUCUACUGGAGAGCAACUGACACUCAGGGACGAAAGCUAGGGGAGCGAAUGGGAUUAGAUACCCCAGUAGUCCUAGCCGUAAACGAUGGAUACUAGGUGUGGCUUGUAUCGACCCGAGCCGUGCCGAAGCUAACGCGUUAAGUAUCCCGCCUGGGGAGUACGCACGCAAGUGUGAAACUCAAAGGAAUUGACGGGGGCCCGCACAAGCGGUGGAGUAUGUGGUUUAAUUCGAUGCAACGCGAAGAACCUUACCAGGGCUUGACAUGUCGCGAAUCUUCUUGAAAGGGAAGAGUGCCUUCGGGAGCGCGAACACAGGUGGUGCAUGGGUGUCGUCAGCUCGUGUCGUGAGAUGUUGGGUUAAGUCCCGCAACGAGCGCAACCCUCGUCCUUAGUUGCCAGCAUUAAGUUGGGCACUUUAGGGAGACUCCCGGUGACAAACCGGAGGAAGGUGGGGAUGACGUCAAGUCAGCAUGCCCCUUACGCCCUGGGCGACACACGUACUACAAUGCUACGGACAAAGGGCAGCAAGCCAGUGAUGGCAAGCCAAUCCCAUAAACCGUGGCUCAGUUCAGAUCGCAGGCUGCAACUCGCCUGCGUGAAGGAGGAAUCGCUAGUAAUUGCAGGUCAGCAUACUGCAGUGAAUCCGUUCCCGGGCCUUGUACACACCGCCCGUCACACCAUGGAAGCUGGCCACGCCCGAAGUCGUUACCCUAACCUUUCGAGGAGGGGGAUGCCGAAGGCAGGGCUGGUGACUGGGGUGAAGUCGUAACAAGGUAGCCGUACCGGAAGGUGUGGCUGGAUCACCUCCUUUUAGGGAGACCUACUUCCAGGAACCAAAACUCUGUAAAGAGAGAGGUAAAUGAGAAGACAUCCCA
rnacentral:rRNA from 1 species